GGCGAUUUAGCUCAGUUGGUUAGAGCGUGUGCUUAACACUUGGACUGUCCCACAGUCGAGCGUUGCGCACAAGGUCGGCGGUUCGACCCCGUCAAACGUCA